UUUCGGUUAAACCGGUCGUUGAUAGGACGAGAAUAAAGAAGAUUUUCAAUAACUGUGGUCAUAUUUAGUGGUAUAAAAUGAAAACCUUAGUGUGAAGAACACUCUCACAUUGUCAUAACCUGUAGAAUCCACCCGUACCUGCCUUGCCCUUACCUGUAGAAUCCACUCUCGUGUUGUGCUGCUGUGCUCUCGUUAGCAUUGUCCCGGCACCCCCAGGCGUGAACCUCCACCACUGUAGAAGCAAUUUCCCGUGAAAGUAAAUGCAGCUCAACAGGAAUAUUAAUGGUAGGCAUCACUAAGAAUUAAAUGGAGAAACCAUAAUAUGACAAGGAUUAUAAGAAAUUCAUUUUUACUAUAGUACACGUCUCCAUAGACUGUAGAGUGUAGAUAGAACAAUAAUGGUGGUAACCUUUCAUCCAAAAUGGCCAUAAGUGACAAGGAAUAAGGUGUAGGAAGAAACAUGCAAAGUUUUAUACAAUGUUAAAAUUCUGCAUGUAUUUUUUUUGUUUGUGGUUUAAUUUUCCUCUGUUGCUUAGUAUACAAAUUAAAAUUUGGGAUUGCUAUGUGUAUCUUUUUACUAGAAUCCGUGGAAAAGGUGCCUUUUUGAAUGGGAAUCCCAUAAAAGGUGUGAGGUGUGUCAUCUGUUCUUUAUUGUUUGAAUGAUUAUUGUUAAUUUAAAUGUUAUGCUUAUGCAUUCAAAUUUCA